rnacentral:rRNA from 1 species
GCACAAGCAAAGCGGAGCGUGUGGUUUAAUUCGAUGCAACGCGAAGAACCUUACCAAGGCUUGACAUGCCAGAAGUAGGAACUCGAAAGAGAGACCCACCUGUAUCCAGUCAGGAACUGGCACAGGUGCUGCAUGGCUGUCGUCAGCUCGUGCCGUGAGAUGUUGGGUUAAGUCCCGCAACGAGCGCAACCCUUGUCAUUAGUUGCUACAUUCAGUUGGGCACUCUAAUGAGACUGCCGGUGACAAGCCGGAGGAAGGUGGGGAUGACGUCAAGUCCUCAUGGCCCUUAUAGGUGGGGCUACACACGUCAUACAAUGGCUGGUACAAAGGGUUGCCAACCCGCGAGGGGGAGCCAAUCCCAUAAAGCCAGUCGUAGUCCGGAUCGUAGUCUGCAACUCGACUACGUGAAGUCGGAAUCGCUAGUAAUCGUGGAUCAGAAUGUCACGGUGAAUACGUUCCCGGGUCUU